rnacentral:rRNA from 1 species
UACGGGGGGGGCAAGCGUUGUUCGGAAUUACUGGGCGUAAAGCGCGUGUAGGCGGCAAGCCAAGUCGGGUGUGAAAGCCCUGGGCUCAACCCAGGAAGUGCAUUCGAUACUGGCAAGCUAGAGUCCCGGAGAGGAUGGUGGAACUCUCGGUGUAGAGGUGAAAUUCGUAGAUAUCGAGAAGAACACCGGUGGCGAAGGCGGCCAUCUGGACGGUGACUGACGCUGAGACGCGAAAGCGUGGGGAGCAAACAGG